GACGAACGCUGGCGGCGUACUUAACACAUGCAAGUCGAACGGUGAACGAGGGAGCUUGCUCCCUCCGGAUCAGUGGCGAACGGGUGAGUAACACGUGAGCAAUCUGCCCUGGACUCUGGGAUAAGCGUUGGAAACGACGUCUAAUACCGGAUACGAGGCGUGGGGGCAUCCCCAACGCCUGGAAAGAACUUCGGUCCAGGAUGAGCUCGCGGCCUAUCAGCUUGUUGGUGAGGUAACGGCUCACCAAGGCGACGACGGGUAGCCGGCCUGGGAGGGUGACCGGCCACACUUGGACUGAGACACGGCCCAGACUCCUACGGGAGGCAGCAGUGGGGAAUAUUGCACAAUGGGCGCAAGCCUGAUGCAGCAACGCCGCGUGAGGGACGACGGCCUUCGGGUUGUAAACCUCUUUUAGCAGGGAAGAAGCGAAAGUGACGGUACCUGCAGAAAAAGCACCGGCUAACUACGUGCCAGCAGCCGCCGUAAUAC
rnacentral:rRNA from 1 species